GGAGUCGCCCCCUGCUGGUCACUACAGAGAAGUAGAGUCAUUUCCUCAUAGACGUCUAUGGGAGCAGAGGAGUCGCCCCCUGCUGGUCACUACACAGAAUGCAGCUUCAAGAUACUUUAACCUCAGCUUUUAUUUAGUAAAAAGGCUUUAAUAUACAAUAUUUGCAUGUUCAAUACUUGCAAUCGUUUUAUUUUGGAUGCGUUUAGGUGGAUGAGAUUAAACAUUCAGCUGAGAUGGAGCUACGGUACUUGUUGCAUUGACCUCAUUAUGAGCUGAUGAAAUGAAAAGCUCACUGAAAAUGACAGAAGCAUGACUGAAAUGAGCUGCUGAAGGUUGAACCGUCUUUCUCCCAGAGCUGCAGUUUAUAAUUCAUUUUCUGUCCAGGAAGUAAUCGGUUUGAAUAAGAGGUUUCCAGCUAACAUGAUCGAGCCCCUGAACAUCACCUGCUCGGACAGAGAAACAAAGUGGAGCAGACGUCUCGCUCACGAGGAGGAGACCAAAAACGGGCAAAAAAAUCAGACAAUAUUGGCAUUUAUCGGGUGGACAGAAAUAUGAACAGAUGAAGAUGAUUUGACUGAGAAGGUCGUUCAGCAUAUUUUGGCUCUCGAAAUCUACGAGUUGCUGCACAUUGAUUCCUUUGCAGACGGAGACGCUGACGCUGUAAAGACCCUCUGACUGCACUGUGGACGGACAGAUUUAACGAAGAUGAAACAGUGACAGCCUCGGGUGUUUCUCCUGGUCCUCCCCGAUGGACCUGUGGGAGGUGGAGGGGUGACAGUGGGGGAGUCACGGCUCGGUCUGUGAUGUACAGCUUCGACCCUGUAAAAAGCACGAGCCGACAGAAUAAAGUGCAGACGAUGACAUCACCUCUGCGGACGGAGGAUUAAAAAAAAACGUCUCCAUGAUCAGCAGCUCUUCUUCUUCUCGCCGCAUUAAAUGACAAAGACGGAGAUAGUGAUCAACACUGAGGCCUCCCGAUGACACCAGCUCUCCUCCUCCCUCCUCCUCUCUCCUCCUCCCUCCUCCUCUCUCCUCCCGCUGUAGCUCUUCAGUGGCCCCGAGGCGACAUGGAGGAGCUGUUUUCCCCUUUAGUCGAUUGGUCGUCGCUCACAAACAUGAGGAAAUGGGGUUUAAAAAUACCCACUCAGCCUAACAAGGGUCCAUUUUGACUUGUUUUGUGAACAGCCGAUUAGGAGCUCCAGACUGGACGUCCUGCCAACAAGCCCCAAACAGACACUGCAGCAGCCAUCUGACCUGUUUUCAUGCAUCUCGUCUAUUUGGAAGGAAAAACUAAAGUUGUUUUUUCCCCACCGAUGAAUAAAUAAAUAAAAUAACUGGGGGGUUUAAACGGGUUAGAAGCAGCCGGGAGCCACGACACACCCGGCGUAUAAAUGACUAUAAACCUUCAGUGAGCGUAAGAAAAAAGAAAAAGACACUCGGGGUCUUUCUUGCUUAUUGCCAAAAGGGGAAACGGUGCUCUGCAGCUUCAAGUAAAACCCCCAUUUACACACACACACACGCGCACACACACACACACACACACACACACUCUCUGGAGACCUCCAGCUGGUUGGUUUCCAUGACAGCAGUUGGAAUAACAGCCUCCAUGUAAGCGGCUCCUGUUUGCAGGGAAACAUCAGUCACACAAUGGACGCCUCCCAGGUGGCCGUGACCUCCGGUGACCCCGCAGCGCCUCCACGCUUCCUCCUGGAAGACUUCCCGCGUCUGUGUGCGCGUGGUUUUCAUCCAGAGACAAAACAGCCUCGAUGUUGCUCUCGGAGACCGACUCGGGUCCAGUGAGGGUGGUUUUUGUUUUGCUAGUGGCAUCAGAACACGGAGGCCGACAAUAGAAGCACGGAUGGAAAAUAAGAGACUGACUUCCAGCUACGAGCCAACGUGGCGCAAAUCCAUUCAUUCCUUUUUGUUGAGGCUUUAAGAGGAAGUUCUGCUGGUUGAUGACGAGAGCAUCUGCCUAAAAAAAAGUGAGGUGAAGACACUCAAGAAGGAAUUAGAAGAAAAGUCAGUUAAUGUUGUGAAGCAUGAAACGACGAGUAAGCGGCAGGAGAUUCUGCUCACAGCUCAUGGAGGAACUUCUCUCCACUUUGCUCAUUUCUUGUGUUACAGCUCACAAACGUUGAGGAGCAGUAGGAACAAUCUGGAAGGAUCGGUGGCGUUUAUUCCUCCCAAGUGCUGCAAUGUAGUAAAGAAACAUGAAGUCACCUUGAGAUGAUGGAGUUCCUCUCCGUUGGGGAGCGCUGAAGAUGGAUGUGCUCCAGAUGGGACCUUCAGCCCGUCGUCACGCGGAUCUCGUCAUCGCCGAACAACGGGAGGCGGAGUGAGGACGAGGAUGUGAGAAGAGGAAGAGGUGUCAAAACACCCGGAGGUUGUUCUCAGAGUCCGUCCCAUAAGGGACAAUCCGUCUUCACCUGGCGAGAAGACGGAUUGGCAUCGCGUCCCCGCUGACAGGAAGUCCGUCCCCGCUGACAGGAAGUUCACCGUCUUUUGUUUUGUUGGGUCGACUGGACGUCCUGAGGAAGCCUGGAGAAACGCUCGCUCCUCGUCCUCCGUAGACGAGAGAGGACGGUUGACGGAGGGGAAUAAAAUAUAAAAAAACGGCCGACCCCCCCGGGUUUCAUCCACGAGCGCACAAGACGCCAUUACGAUGCCGCACAGAGACUUUAUUUAUUUAAGAGACACUGAAAGUGGGUUUAAGUGAUGUUAAAAAAAGACUUUCAUUGAUAAAAUACCCACAUUGGUAUUUUAUUUUAACAGAUAAACGUCUGAUAAAUAAUAAAACAAUAAACAGCCAACAGGAAGUCGACUCGUUUGAUGCUUUCAGGCCUCAGCAGCUUCGACGGAGACGCCACGCGAGGAAAACCGGCUGGAACGUUUAACAAAAAACACGCACGUAGAUCGAGACGAACAAACGUAACACGAGUCGUUCGUCGGAGCCUUUCAGCGACUGUCGUCGCCUUCGGAAGCCGCAGAGGACAAAACGAAGAGAAUCAGUCCGAGGCGUCGAUGCCGACUGUGGCGUCGACAUGAGGCGGGUCAAAGGUCAUCGCAGUUGGGCUUUUUUUCAUCCCAGUUGCCGUGUUACGCGCAACAAUAAACGUGGCCGGCGAGCUGCAGG
ensembl:lncRNA